CCUACGGUGAGGCAGCAGUGGGGAAUAUUGGACAAUGGGCGAAAGCCUGAUCCAGCCAUGCCGCGUGUGUGAAGAAGGCCUUCGGGUUGUAAAGCACUUUCAGUGGGGAAGAAAGCCUUGGGGCUAAUACCCUCGAGGAAGGACAUCACCCACAGAAGAAGCACCGGCUAACUCCGUGCCAGCAGCCGCGGUAAUACGGAGGGUGCGAGCGUUAAUCGGAAUUACUGGGCGUAAAGCGCGCGUAGGCGGUCUGAUAAGCCGGUUGUGAAAGCCCCGGGCUCAACCUGGGAACGGCAUCCGGAACUGUCAGGCUAGAGUGCAGGAGAGGAAGGUAGAAUUCCCGGUGUAGCGGUGAAAUGCGUAGAGAUCGGGAGGAAUACCAGUGGCGAAGGCGGCCUUCUGGACUGACACUGACGCUGAGGUGCGAAAGCGUGGGUAGCAAACAGGAUUAGAUACCCUAGUAGUC
rnacentral:rRNA from 1 species